rnacentral:rRNA from 1 species
GACGAACGCUGGCGGCGUGCCUAAUACAUGCAAGUCGAGCGAAGUUUUUCUGGUGCUUGCACUUGCAAAACUUGGCGGCGAACGGGUGAGUAACAAGUAAAGAACCUGCCUCAUAGACUGGGACAACUAUAGGAAACGAUAGCUAAUAACGGAUAACAGUAUUUCUCGCAUGAGAGAUAUUUAUAAGUUGGUUAUGCUGUCACUAUGAGAUGGCUUUGCGGUGCAUUAGCUAGUUGGUGGGGUAAAGGCCUACCAAGGAGACGAUGCAUAGCCGACCUGAGAGGGUGAUCGGCCCCACUGGGACUGAGACACGGCCCAGACUCCUACGGGAGGCAGCAGUAGGGAAUCUUCCGCAAUGGGCGAAAGCCUGACGGAGCAACGCCGCGUGAGUGAAGAAGGAUUUCGGUUCGUAAAGCUCUGUUGUUAGGGAAGAAUGGAUAUGUAGUAACUAUACAUGUAAGAGACGGUACCUAACCAGAAAGCCACGGCUAACUACGUG